AUGCGCUGCCUUUGAGCCCCCGGCGCCCUUCCUCGUGGCGCCGGGAGUUAAGCUGCGGCGCCACAGCAAUUGCUAGUUCAUAACUGGGGCCGUCUGCCCAUCGCGGGCGGCCCUUUUAACUGCUAGCUACAGGU
ensembl:snoRNA Gm22711 small nucleolar RNA SNORA76